UACGUAGGGUGCAAGCGUUGUCCGGAAUUAUUGGGCGUAAAGAGCUCGUAGGCGGUUUGUUGCGUCGGCUGUGAAAUCCCGAGGCUCAACCUCGGGUCUGCAGUCGAUACGGGCAAACUAGAGUGUUGCAGGGGAGACUGGAAUUCCUGGUGUAGCGGUGAAAUGCGCAGAUAUCAGGAGGAACACCGGUGGCGAAGGCGGGUCUCUGGGCCGUAACUGACGCUGAGGAGCGAAAGCAUGGGGAGCGAACAGG
rnacentral:rRNA from 1 species